rnacentral:rRNA from 1 species
AAGUCGAGGGGCAGCGGGAUUGAAGCUUGCUUCAAUUGCCGGCGACCGGCGCACGGGUGAGUAACGCGUAUCCAACCUGCCUCAUACUCGGGGAUAGCCUUUCGAAAGAAAGAUUAAUAUCCGAUAGCAUAAUGAUUCCGCAUGGUUUCAUUAUUAAAGGAUUCCGGUAAAGGAUGGGGAUGCGUUCCAUUAGUUUGUUGGCGGGGUAACGGCCCACCAAGACAACGAUGGAUAGGGGUUCUGAGAGGAAGGUCCCCACAUUGGAACUGAGACACGGUCCAAACUCC